AAUCAACGCUGGCGGCGUGCCUAACACAUGCAAGUCGAACGCGAAAGUGGAGCAAUCCAUGAGUAGAGUGGCAAACGGGUGAGUAACGCGUGGGCGACCUGCCUUCGAGUGGGGAGUAACAUUCCGAAAGGGAGUGCUAAUACCGCAUAACAUCCUUCGUUUAGAUACGAGGUGAUCAAAGCCGGGAGCAAUUCUGGCGCUUAAGAGGGGCCCGCGUCCGAUUAGCAGUUGGUGGGGUAACGGCCUACCAAGGCUUCGAUCGGUAUCCGGCCUGAGAGGGCGGGACGGACACACUGGAACUGAGACACGGUCCAGACUCCUACGGGAGGCAGCAGUGGGGAAUUGUUCGCAAUGGGCGCAAGCCUGACGACGCAACGCCGCGUGGAGGAUGAAGACCUCGGU
rnacentral:rRNA from 1 species